UACAUGUGGGGCAAGCGUUGUUCGGAAUCACUGGGCGUAAAGGGCGCGUAGGCGGCCUGAUAAGUCGGGGGUGAAAGCCUGUGGCUCAACCACAGAAUUGCCUUCGAUACUGUUAGGCUUGAGACCGGAAGAGGUAAGUGGAACUGCGAGUGUAGAGGUGAAAUUCGUAGAUAUUCGCAAGAACACCAGUGGCGAAGGCGGCUCACUGGCCCGAUACUGACGCUGAGGUGCGAAAGCGUGGGGAGCAAACAGG
rnacentral:rRNA from 1 species